AGUCGACUGUGCAAUCGCUUUAUUUUUAGGAAUGAAGAGGAAAGUCUGGGCUCCAUAGAGUAGAGUGCCAGGUAACACCUGGGAAGUGUGAACUUACGGAAAGUGCAACAGAAAAUAAACCGCAAUUUUAUUGUAAGGGUGAAAUGGUGAGGUAAGAGCUCACCGCAGUUAAUAGCAAUAUUGCUGGCUAGGUAAACCCCACUCGGAGCAAGGCCAAAUAGAAAAGCUAUAGUGCUACUCGUGCUGCUUUUGGGUAGGCUGCUAGAUGUGUUUGGUGACAAGCAUACAAGAUUAAUGAUUGUAUUCAACAGAACCCAGCUUAUAGGUCGACUCAA
rnacentral:RNase_P_RNA from 1 species